UGUAAACCCGAGGGAGACAGAUGGAGAGUGUGUGCAUGCUUUUUUCUGUCUCUCAGGCUCCCUUGAAGGGCAGGACGGCAUAAGUAGAUGACAGCAAAACCGUGAACACAGCAAUGCUGUUGCACAUGAUCUGAAACACAGCAGCUUACGGGUGAAUAUGGGAGAGGUCCACAUAGAAGAGCCCCAAUAGCAAGCAAGGACUCUCUGGGCAUUUCCACAGUGUUUCCAGGAGCGUAGCUGCAGACUUAACCUCGGCUUGAAGAGCCAAGGGUACUUUUCAAAGAACAUUGGUGCUGACUUCAGUGCCUCAGGAGGACCUGCAGUGAUUACUUCUUUCAGUCUCUACAUCCCUCAACACCCUGUCCUUUAUUUUAAACUGCACAGUAUCCUGCCCUGACCAGAUUCAGGAAACAGACCACUUUUUCCAUCCAGCUAAAGUCUCUGCCUGUAUCUGCCAUGUUUAUCUAAUCAAUAAAGCACCAAUAGAAAAGCAAAAUUUUCUAAGGCAGCCUGAGCAUUUUUCUUUUAACCAAAACAAAAACCCUGAAAUGCAUCAAUUUCCCAUUAGAACUGGAAAAUUUCUAGCAUCCUAUAAUACUGCUUUUGCAUUUCACUAUUCUGCUGGCAUUUUAGAUGCUUAAAAUGAAAAAUUAGCUCUCAGAAAGUAGGAUCUUCCUGAUUAGAAAAAUUUGUUGAAACUGUAAUGGAAAGAUCAGAACAACUUCAUUAGUCUUCAUUAAAUAAAAUAAAUGUUAUUUCCAUUCCUUUCACAUACAAUCAUAUAUUACAACUAUUAAUAUUGCAGAGAUGUUUCUUUUGUCCCAGAAUUUAAUGUAUAAAACUGCAAACCUCAUUGCAUGAAAAACAACUUACAAUCACCAGAAUGACACGCAGUUCAUCUUUUUUACGUUCAUUAAUUUUCUGUAAAUAGAACACAGUCGCUUUGCAUUGUUUGCACUAAUGGAGAGCUCAGAGCAGUUUACCCUGUUACUACUUAUCAUUUAUUUGGGUAAUAAUUUUAAAAAGCUUUUAAAUUAAAAUGAUAAAGAUAGUUAGGGGAAAAGAUACAGCCUUUUGGAAUUUUUCAAGUA